UACUAUAAAAUGACAGCUGAAAUACAUCCGUGUCACUUUUAUAAUCUGUCAACAUGUCCAUUUCUGAGUGAGUGAGCGUCAGCAGCACGCUGCGCUUGGGCAUUACGUCCUUACACAUUACAUACUUACCAAGCGGAAGAAAAAGUAGUUCCCAUUAACAACGUUUCAUUUAGGCAAGAUCUCAAUAAUUUUGUUACUUUCUAACUUGCUCUUGUUAAUCUACAUUAUCUCAAAUUACUAAAGUGUUGAAAGUAUUGAUCCUUGGAUCUGAAAAUAGAUUUUAAAGAAUUAAGUUCUGGUAUCGAAAGAAUCGAUAUUUCAGUAUCAAUCCGCACAUCACUAACGGCAACGCCAGAGAUCAUUUAACUGCCCUGAUUAACGGUUGAUUCAGUUGCAACAGCCUAACUAAGCUUUUAUCUACUGUACUUUUAUAAGAUUUUCUUUUGGCAAAUUCUCUAAUCUCGGUUGGACAUGAAUGAAGAUGGAGGACUUUUUUACGUGUAUAGACCCUAUAGCUGCUGUACUCAGAGUAAACCAAACUGUUGCCAUAGUGAAGCCUAUGCCAGACACAUCGUCAAUCACGUAUUGCACCAUCUACAAGAAACUUUGGGAAUUGCAAGUGACGGUGUCCUUCACAUUCUCAAGGUAAGAAAUUUAUGAUACUGAUUCAUCAUUACACUGAUUAGUCCCUAAAACGUGGUUUGUUUUGUGAUUGUUUUUCUGUCUGUGCUCCAAUUAGCAGAUGACCCAACAACUUCAAACAAGACCACUUUUCAGCUCUGCGGUGAUCAUGAAACCAACUUUCUACUGGCCAUUGGAACCAUGCCUUCCCUGAUCUUCUGAAAGGAGGACAUCAUAGCUACUACACUUUUCAGCAUCCGUGUGUGGGGCCACUCCUCUCUGUGCUGCUGACAGACGUCUUGAGAACGCCGUCCGUAACUGAGGCAAGACUUCCACAUAUAAAAGGCUAUGGCUUAUUGGAAGAAGUUCAUUGCGGAGGAAGCUCCUAUUGUUGACAUCUAAUCCCAAGAUUUUUUUUGCUUUGGACAAUUUGGUUUGCUUGACUCUUAGGGCAUCUUAUGAGUGCGGCAGAUGUGUCAGAUCUUCAUUGUUCUGUCAUUUUACAGGAUUGUUUCAGAAUCAGAUGCCCAUCCAGACUUUAUUCUGACCAGUAGUCAUGUUUUAUUGUGCUUAUGUGAAACUUAAACGUAAUAAAUAUGUUAAAAGUAA